UACGAAGGGGGCCAGCGUUGCUCGGAAUUACUGGGCGUAAAGGGUGCGUAGGCGGGUUUUUAAGUCAGGGGUGAAAUCCUGGAGCUCAACUCCAGAACUGCCUUUGAUACUGAAGAUCUUGAGUUCGGGAGAGGUGAGUGGAACUGCGAGUGUAGAGGUGAAAUUCGUAGAUAUUCGCAAGAACACCAGUGGCGAAGGCGGCUCACUGGACUGGUAUUGACGCUGAGGUGCGAAAGCGUGGGGAGCAAACAGG
rnacentral:rRNA from 1 species